UGGGGGAUCUUGGACAAUGGGGGAAACCCUGAUCCAGCGAUGCCGCGUGUGUGAAGAAGGCCUUCGGGUUGUAAAGCACUUUAGUUGUGGAGGAAGGAUGGAAGGUUAAGAGCUAUUCAUUUUGACGGUACACAAAGAAUAAGCACCGGCUAACUCUGUGCCAGCAGCCGCGGUAAUACAGAGGGUGCGAGCGUUAAUCGGAAUAACUGGGCGUAAAGGGCGCGUAGGCGGUGAGAUAAGCUGGUUGUGAAAGAAUUGGGCUUAACCUAAUAAAGCAAACAGGACUGUCAAACUAGAGGUAAGGAGAGGUGAGAAGAAUUUCCGGAGUAGCGGUGAAAUGCGUAGAUACCGGAAAGAAUACCAGAAGCGAAGGCGACUCACUGGACUUAGACUGACGCUGAGGCGCGAAAGCGUGGGGAGCAAACAGG
rnacentral:rRNA from 1 species